AGCCCCAUAGUCCAGUUGGUCAAAGACGCGGGACUCUGGAUCCCGAAACCCAGGUUCGAAUCCUGGUGGGGCUA
rnacentral:tRNA from 1 species